rnacentral:rRNA from 1 species
AGUGUAAAAGGCGGGCGGUAGUGAUCAUGCAGAGGUUUGAAAGKAGCUUGUUUACUAGGUGUUUUGUGGUAGUUGGGUUACCCGAUUGUUGCAAGGUAUUUGGACGUGGGUAAAGAGGGGAACCAGUUCCAGCCCCAGUAUUAUACUGAUGUUUUGUUGGGGCAACACAAAGCUAGAAAGAACGCUUUGGUGACUAUGUGGUAGGAUCCAGUAUCAGACUGAAUUCCGCAAAAGUUACCCCGGGGAUAACAGCGUAAUUCCUCCUGCGAGGUCUUAUCAAAGGAGGAGAUUGCGACCUCGAUGUUGAAUCAGGGUUCCUGCGUGCUGCAGCAGGUACGUAAGUGGGUCUGUUCGACCUUUAAA